GGGCAAGUCACCCUGGGCUACC
rnacentral:miRNA from 1 species